GAUGAAGAACGUAGCGAAAUGCGAUAAGUAAUGUUAAUUGCAGAAUUCAGUGAAUCAUCGAAUCUUUGAACGCACAUUGCGCCCCUUGGUAUUCCGAGGGGCAUGCCUGUUCGAGCGUCAUUAUAACCCCUCAAGCUCAGCUUGGUGUUGGGGCCUGCUGCACUGGCAGCCCUUAAAAUCAGUGGCGGCGCCAUCUGGCUCUAAGCGUAGUAAUUCUUCUCGCUAUGGAGUCCUGGUGGAUGCUUGCCAUCAACCCCCCAUUUUUCUAUGGUUGACCUCGGAUCAGGUAGGGAUACCCGCUGAACUUAAGCAUAUCAAUAAGCGGAGUA
rnacentral:misc_RNA from 1 species